rnacentral:rRNA from 1 species
AUUGAACGCUGGCGGCAGGCCUAACACAUGCAAGUCGAGCGGAUGAAGGGAGCUUGCUCCUGGAUUCAGCGGCGGACGGGUGAGUAAUGCCUAGGAAUCUGCCUGGUAGUGGGGGAUAACGUCCGGAAACGGGCGCUAAUACCGCAUACGUCCUGAGGGAGAAAGUGGGGGAUCUUCGGACCUCACGCUAUCAGAUGAGCCUAGGUCGGAUUAGCUAGUUGGUGGGGUAAAGGCCUACCAAGGCGACGAUCCGUAACUGGUCUGAGAGGAUGAUCAGUCACACUGGAACUGGGAAACGGUCCAGACUCCUACGGGAGGCAGCGGUGGGGAAUAUUGGACAAUGGGCGAAAGCCUGAUCCAGCCAUGCCGCGUGUGUGAAGAAGGUCUUCGGAUUGUAAAGCACGUUAAGUUGGGAGGAAGGGCAGUAAGUUAAUACCUUGCUGUUUUGACGUUACCAACAGAAUAAGCACCGGCUAACUUCGUG